AUAAUACUCCCUCCGUCCGGAAUUACUUGUCAUCAAAAUGGAUGUGUCUAGAACUAAAAUACAUCUAGAUGCAUCCAUUUCAAUGACAAGUAUUUUCGGACGGAGGGAGUAGUAG
rnacentral:pre_miRNA from 1 species